CUUAAAGGUUGGAAGCGAUCCGCCAACCCAAACCCAAAGAAGAAGAAUCACGUUACGACGCACGCUGGCAUGAGAGAAACAAAUAAACAUCUUUAGCAACUUUUUAAACCGAUUCAAGCAUGGACGCUCAAAAAGACGUGCAACCCCCAAGCAGCAGCCUAUGAUCUACAUUGUGGGG